GCAGCAGUGAGGAAUAUUGGUCAAUGGGCGGAAGCCUGAACCAGCCAAGUCGCGUGAGGGAAGACGGUCCUAUGGAUUGUAAACCUCUUUUGCAGGGGAGCAAGGCGCGGUACGUGUACCGCGAAGGAGAGUACCCUGAGAAAAAGCAUCGGCUAACUCCGUGCCAGCAGCCGCGGUAAUACGGAGGAUGCGAGCGUUAUCCGGAUUUAUUGGGUUUAAAGGGUGCGCAGGCGGACUGUUAAGUCAGCGGUAAAAUGUCGGUGCUCAACACCGGCCGGCCGUUGAAACUGGCAGCCUUGAGUGAGCGAGAAGUAUGCGGAAUGCGUGGUGUAGCGGUGAAAUGCAUAGAUAUCACGCAGAACUCCGAUUGCGAAGGCAGCAUACCGGCGCUCAACUGACGCUCAGGCACGAAAGCGUGGGUAUCGAACAGGCUUAGAUACCCUGGUAGUCCACGCAGUAAACGAUGAAUGCUCACUGUCCGGGCCGUUUAAGGCCUGG
rnacentral:rRNA from 1 species